AUCCAGCUGACGAGUCCCAAUAUAGGAUGAAACGCAUGUCAAACUGGAC
rfam:Schistosoma rodhaini strain Burundi genome assembly, scaffold: SROB_scaffold0000256